UACGGGGGGGGUAAGCGUUGUUCGGAAUUACUGGGCGUAAAGGGCUCGUAGGCGGCCAACUAAGUCAGACGUGAAAUCCCUCAGCUUAACUGGGGAACUGCGUCUGAUACUGGAUGGCUUGGAUUCGGGAGAGGAAUGCGGAAUUCCAGGUGUAGCGGUGAAAUUCGUAGAUAUUCGCAAGAACACCAGUGGCGAAGGCGGCUCACUGGCCCGAUACUGACGCUGAGGCACGAAAGCGUGGGGAGCAAACAGG
rnacentral:rRNA from 1 species